GUAGACGUUAGCUCAGUGGUUAGAGCACAGGCCUCUGGCUCUCUCGGGUCCGCGAGUUCGAGUCCCGUCGUCUACU
rnacentral:tRNA from 1 species